CUGUGGGCGGGGCUGCUUCAUAGGGCUCUGCUUGGCGGGAAGGGAGAAGGGGCGGGGCUCCCUUGGGUGGGCGGGGCUGCGAGGCUCGCUGCUUCCCUGCGCAGCGCCGGGCGCCGCCUCUCUGCGCACGGCCCCUGCCGCCAUCUUGGCUGUCGGCGUCGGCGUCGGCGCCGCGGGUCCACAGGAGGGGCCCUGAAGUGCCGCUUUCCCGAGGUGCGUUGUUUGAGGCUUCUGCCCGCCGCGUCCUGUGAGCAGGUGAAACUAGCCUGGGCGCAAAGGGGGAAAAAAAGGUCUCCUGGUUCUCAGGCCCUUCAGGCUCAGAGUGGAAUCUACACCAUUGGCUCUGGCUUUCAAGCCUUCAAACUGUAUCACCAGACUUCCUGGAUCUCCAGUUUGCAAAUGGCAGAUCAGCCUCCAUGACCAUGCAGAGUCAGUGAACAAAGAGGGUUGUAACAAAGAUCUGGAGAAGAAGAAAGACUUGAUCACAGUGGUUUAAAUCAGUCUGCACCCUUGUUGAAGAUCACCCGACUGUCUACA